AUCUUCCUCGGGGGGCAGCAGUGAGGAAUAUUGGUCAAUGGGCGAGAGCCUGAACCAGCCAAGUCGCGUGAGGGAAGACGGUCCUAUGGAUUGUAAACCUCUUUUGCCGGGGAGUAAAAAGCGGUACGUGUACCGCAUCGAGAGUACCCGGAGAAAAAGCAUCGGCUAACUCCGUGCCAGCAGCCGCGGUAAUACGGAGGAUGCGAGCGUUAUCCGGAUUUAUUGGGUUUAAAGGGUGCGCAGGCGGCG
rnacentral:rRNA from 1 species